rnacentral:lncRNA from 1 species
GAAUCCCAGGAAUGUGGGCGAGGUCCUCCUCCCGCCGGGGCCACCCUGGACCCGGCGAGAAAUCGAAGGUCCCCCAAGGACCCACGUCCAGGAGCCAACAGCCUCUCUGUGCAAACCAGACAACCCUGCAGGAACUGUGCUUGAAGAAACCGUGGAAACUGCCCCCAACCCUCCCGUCUCUAUUUCUUUCUCUGUUUUAUUAUCUCAUUCUUGGCUGUGAGGUAAACAGGAGAAAAUGAGAAGGUGGUUCUGGAGGACCCGACCGAAUUUGCUUUCGUGACAGGGUCAAGCGCCCUUUCCUCGCCGGCCGCAGCCCUCACCAAAGGGGAUUUGGGGGCCUCCGGACAGGGGUCCUGAAGGUUUUGAAUUGUUCAAUCUCUGGGGGUACAGGAACCCCUGCAGGAGGUUUCAAAGGCAAGAGUUUCGCAGAGAGAAAAAAACCAUGAACUUUGCAGGUUGGUGGCGGAAUCUGGUGAUUUAAGAAAACGUGUUUAAGCCUCGGCCGGGCCGCGCCUGGGCUGUCUGCGGUGCUCUUCCGGAAUUCUCUACAAUAUCUGGAAGUGACCAAGAAAAUUCCAGAACCCGGAGGCUGCGCCGUGGAGAUAAACAUGGGCACCUGGGUGAAGGAACUGCUGGACCAGCAGAAUGAGGGGCCAACGCCAGGGGCAGCACUGCCCGGCCACAGAGGACUGUGGCCCCACAGAUGACACCCUCAGCUACCAGCUCCUGCAUCUGGAAGAUGACCAGGAGGAGGAAGGACGGUCUGCAAGUGUUCAAAGUGAUGUUUCCAGGCCGGGCGCGCUUGUAAUACCAGCAUUUGGGAGGCUGAGGCAGGCGGAUCACCUGAGGUCGGGAGUUCGAGACCAGCCUGACCAACGUGGAGAAACCC